rnacentral:rRNA from 1 species
UACGUAGGGUGCGAGCGUUAAUCGGAAUUACUGGGCGUAAAGCGUACGCAGGCGGCUAUGUAAGACAGGUGUGAAAUCCCCGGGCUUAACCUGGGAACUGCAUUUGUGACUGCAUAGCUAGAGUCUGUCAGAGGGGGGGUGGAAUUCCACGUGUAGCAGUGAAAUGCGUAGAGAUGUGGAGGAACACCGAUGGCGAAGGCAGCCCCCCUGGGAUAAGACUGACGCUCAUGUACGAAAGCGUGGGGAGCAAACAGG